rnacentral:rRNA from 1 species
GAUGAACGCUGGCGGCGUGCCUAAUACAUGCAAGUCGAGCGAACAGACGAGGAGCUUGCUCCUCUGACGUUAGCGGCGGACGGGUGAGUAACACGUGGAUAACCUACCUAUAAGACUGGGAUAACUUCGGGAAACCGGAGCUAAUACCGGAUAAUAUAUUGAAUCGCAUGGUUCAAUAGUGAAAGACGGUUUUGCUGUCACUUAUAGAUGGAUCCGCGCCGCAUUAGCUAGUUGGUAAGGUAACGGCUUACCAAGGCAACGAUGCGUAGCCGACCUGAGAGGGUGAUCGGCCACACUGGAACUGAGACACGGUCCAGACUCCUACAGGAGGCAGCAGUAGGGAAUCUUCCGCAAUGGGCGAAAGCUUGACGGAGCAACGCCGCGUGAGUGAUGAAGGUCUUCGGAUCGUAAAACUCUGUUAUUAGGGAAGAACAAAUGUGUAAGUAACUAUGCACGUCUUGACGGUACCUAAUCAGAAAGCCACGGCUAACUACGUG